UGAGUGUAGAUUCUACUGUUCUCUGUAGUUU
rnacentral:piRNA from 1 species